GGAUAUGUCGGCUGAUACUGGAGACAUUCAGUGCCCAAAUCCGACUUCCUCAAACACAUGGUCAGUUCGCAUGGCCCAGACUAAAAAGAAGUGGGCAGCUUUGAGGCCAGAGAUGGUGGAAUCUUUAUUAACAGCUGAGUACACGGAGAUCAGACAGUGCCAGCACUGCCAACUGAAGCGAUCUGUUAUCCGCUGUAAAGACUGUGUUCCUAAACAGCUGUACUGUGCAGACUGCGAUAUUUUGGCCCAUGAAAGGAAACUGCACAACCGAGAGACAGAUGUAGAAGGAUUCUUUCGGGCCAUAUCCCCGUCAACUUUGGUGAAGAUUGCCUUUUGCCUCUAGAGACACCUGAUCAAAUUUGCAGCUGUGCCACUGAUACCAUUGUGGUGUCAGGAGGUAAAAAGGCUAUUCUCAUUGGAAUUGAUGGUCGCUACAAUGUCAGCUUGCCAACCUUCACAUGCUCAACA